rnacentral:rRNA from 1 species
UACGAAGGGGGCAAGCGUUGUUCGGAAUUACUGGGCGUAAAGCGCGUGUAGGCGGCCAACUAAGUCAACUGUGAAAGCCCUUGGCUCAACCAAGGAAGUGCAGCCGAAACUGGAUGGCUAGAGUCCUGAAGAGGGUGGCGGAAUGCCCAGUGUAGAGGUGAAAUUCGCAGAGAUUGGGUAGAACACCGGUGGCGAAGGCGGCCACCUGGGAAGGUACUGACGCUGAGACGCGAAAGCGUGGGGAGCAAACAGG